GCCUCUUGCCACAAAUAACAUAAGAGGUCCCGCCUGCCCUGUGACUCUAGGAGUUUAACGGCUGCGGUAUUUUGACCGUGCAAAGGUAGCGCAAUCACUUGUCUUUUAAAUAAAGACCUGUAUGAAUGGCAUGACGAGGGCUUAGCUGUCUCCUUUCCCCAGUCAAUGAAAUUGAUCUCCCCGUGAAGAAGCGGGGAUAUAACUAUAAGACGAGAAGACCCUGUGGAGCUUUAAACACCAGGGGAGCCCAUGUCAAGCACCUCCAGUAAAUAGAGAUGAAACAAAAUGAAUACUCCCCUAAUGUUUUUGGUUGGGGCGACCGCGGGGAAAUAAAAAACCCCCACGUGGAACGGGAAUACCCCUCCUACAACUAAGAGCUACCGCUCUAAUUAACGGAACAUCCGACCAACAAUGAUCCGGCCAAGCCGAUCAACGGACCGAGUUACCCCAGGGAUAACAGCGCAAUCCCCUUUUAGAGACCUUAUCGCCAAGGGGGUUUACGACCUCGAUGUUGGAUCAGGACAUCCUAAUGGUGCAGCCGCUAUUAAGGGUUCGUUUGUUCAACGAUUAAAGUC
rnacentral:rRNA from 1 species